rnacentral:rRNA from 1 species
AACGAACGCUGGCGGCAGGCCUAACACAUGCAAGUCGAGCGAACCGCAAGGUUAGCGGCGGACGGGUUAGUAACGCGUGGGAACGUGCCCAAAGGUACGGAAUAGCCUCGGGAAACUGAGAGCAAUACCGUAUGUGCCCGAAAGGGGAAAGAUUUAUCGCCUUUGGAUCGGCCCGCGUUGGAUUAGGUAGUUGGUGGGGUAACGGCCUACCAAGCCGACGAUCCAUAGCUGGUUUGAGAGGAUGAUCAGCAACACUGGGACUGAGACACGGCCCAGACUCCUACGGGAGGCAGCAGUGGGGAAUCUUAGACAAUGGGGGAAACCCUGAUCUAGCCAUGCCGCGUGAGCGAUGAAGGCCUUAGGGUUGUAAAGCUCUUUCACCGGGGAAGAUAAUGACGGUACCCGGAGAAGAAGCCCCGGCUAACUCCGUGCCAGCCGCCGCGGUAAUAC